rfam:Erinaceus europaeus cont1.722442, whole genome shotgun sequence.
UAAUAAAAUAAAGAGAAACCUCAUUCUGGUUCCAUAGUAAAGAUCAAUGAAAUGACUUUUUUUUUCCUUUUUUCCACCAGAUACGUGCUAUCUGUGCUUUAAGAAUAAAAAAUACACAUCAAAGGAGAAUUUAUUUGGGAAGAAGGG